GACACUGCAUUUUUGCCUCGAAAUGUGAGUAUAAAAAGAUUAAAUUUCAAAGUUUACAGGAAGAACUGCAUAUCAAUUUCAGCACUGCAUAAUCCAUCAAAAUAUGCAAAGCUUGAGCAACUCAGUAUAUAGUAAUAAGGAUCGACUGCAACUUUUAUUACAAUCUCAAAAAAAACUGUGAUAUAGUUUGUUUAACAGAGCACUGAAAGUCUGAAGAUGAACUAGAUUCUAAUAUCCUCAAUAUGAAACUGAUAUCAUACUUUUGUAGAGAGAAAGGCAAGCAUGGGGGAGCAGCCAUCUAUAUCAAACAAGGAAUUAAGUGAAAGAAACGCGAUGAUAUCAAUGCUCUAGCCAUUUUUAAGGAGUUUGAAUGUGCUGCGGUUGAAUGUCAUAUUGGAGAGGAGAUACUUUUGGUAAUAACAGUAUAUAAACCCAGCUCGUCCAACAAUUUUAAUCUAUUUUUUGAACGGUUGGAACAAGUUUUAAGAUGGAAGAGAAUAGUCAUAGGAAUGAGUUUCUUUCAAUUCUGAGGUCAUUUGAUUUGAAACCAACCAUAAUGGAAGCUGCAAGAAAACAGAAUGUAUCAAUACCAACAUAUCUGAUCACAAAGCUCAGAAAUUGACUUUUGGAAUUGCAGAAAGUAAUGAAGUGAAGUCUUCUCGCCAGAGGUUUUUUGGAGCUGAUUCUGUUGAGAGCUUCAGAAGACGG